rnacentral:rRNA from 1 species
AGUUUGAUCCUGGCUCAGAACGAACGCUGGCGGCAGGCUUAACACAUGCAAGUCGAACGCCCCGCAAGGGGAGUGGCAGACGGGUGAGUAACGCGUGGGAACAUACCCUUUUCUACGGAAUAGCUCUGGGAAACUGGAAUUAAUACCGUAUACGCCCUACGGGGGAAAGAUUUAUCGGGGAAGGAUUGGCCCGCGUUGGAUUAGCUAGUUGGUGGGGUAAAGGCCUACCAAGGCGACGAUCCAUAGCUGGUCUGAGAGGAUGAUCAGCCACAUUGGGACUGAGACACGGCCCAAACUCCUACGGGAGGCAGCAGUGGGGAAUAUUGGACAAUGGGCGCAAGCCUGAUCCAGCCAUGCCGCGUGAGUGAUGAAGGCCUUAGGGUUGUAAAGCUCUUUCACCGAUGAAGAUGAUGACGGUAGUCGGAGAAGAAGCCCCGGCUAACUUCGUGCCAGCAGCCGCGGUAA